rnacentral:rRNA from 1 species
UACGGAGGGAGCUAGCGUUAUUCGGAAUUACUGGGCGUAAAGCGCACGUAGGCGGAUUGUUAAGUCAGGGGUGAAAUCCUGGAGCUCAACUCCAGAACUGCCUUUGAUACUGAAGAUCUUGAGUUCGGGAGAGGUGAGUGGAACUGCGAGUGUAGAGGUGAAAUUCGUAGAUAUUCGCAAGAACACCAGUGGCGAAGGCGGCUCACUGGCCCGAUACUGACGCUGAGGCACGAAAGCGUGGGGAGCAAACAGG